ensembl:misc_RNA Metazoa_SRP Metazoan signal recognition particle RNA
GCCGGGCAUGGUGGCUCACGCCUGUAAUCCCAGCACUUUGGGAGGCUGAGGUGGGUGGAUCACCUGAGGUCAGGAGUUCGAGACCAGCCUGGCCAACAUGGUGAAACCCCAUCUCUA